UACGUAGGGGCAAGCGUUGUCCGGAUUUAUUGGGCGUAAAGAGCGUGUAGGCGGCCUGAAAGGUCAGCUGUGAAAACUCGAGGCUUAACCUCGAGACGUCGGUUGAAACCAUCUGGCUAGAGUCCGGAAGAGGAGUGUGGAAUUCCCGGUGUAGCGGUGAAAUGCGCAGAUAUCAGGAGGAACACCGAUGGCGAAGGCAGGUCUCUGGGCAUUAACUGACGCUGGAGGAGCGAAAGCAUGGGGAGCGAACAGG
rnacentral:rRNA from 1 species